ACAGAGAAAGAUCAUCAUGCACAAGAUCCGGCCCCACGUCUCCACUCUGAGGAAGUAUACAUAUGGAAAACACAUCCUGGCCAAGCUGGAGAAAUACUACAUGAAGAAUGGAGUGGACCUGGGCCCUCUCUGUGGCCCUCCCAACGGCAUCAUGUAAACCUUCUACCCUUUUCCACACCUUAACACUUGAGGACAAGACGGGCCAACGGGAACGCGGGACGGGAACGCGGGACGGGCUCAGUACAUCACCUGCUGGGUUGGUGGAGGAAUGGUGGUGAUUCAACAUGUCCGACCCUCUGUGUACAGCUGACGUUGUAUUGGAAUGUCACGUAUUUUAUACCAUAACCCCCCUAUACCCUACAUGAAAAAUAACAUGUUAACUACUACCCACACACAACCUAUUAUUUCCUACCACCCGAUGGUCUAAACCCUAUACCCCCUCUUUUCCCAUCCUAAUGAGAUCAUGUGAACUGCUGCCCUAUACCUACCCCCCCAAUGACAUGUAGAACCCUCUUUGCCUACUCCAACCCCCCUCCUUUUCCCGUCCCACUCUUAUCGCCAUGGUAACCCAUUGGUAUGAGCCUGUGUCUAAACAGGAAGCCUUGGUUAGUUUUAGCCCGUCUCCCAACCAAGCCCUACCCUGCUGCAGGGAGGAGGGAAGGAGGGGGAGGUGAGAUACAUCCCUACCCUGCUGCAGGGAGGAGGGAAGGAGGGGGAGGUGAGAUAUAUCCCUACCCUGCUGCACGGAGGAGGGAAGGAGGGGGAGGUGAGAUACAUCCCUACCCUGCUGCAGGGAGGAGGCAGGGGGAGGUGAGAU